rnacentral:tRNA from 1 species
GCCCCCGUAUCCCAACGGCAGAGGAAGUCGCCUUAAAAGCGAUCCAGUGUCGGUUCGAGUCCGACCGGGGGCACCA